rnacentral:rRNA from 1 species
GAUGAACGCUGGCGGCGUGCCUAACACAUGCAAGUCGAACGGAGUCAUUUUGGAAAGUUCUUCGGAACUGGAAUUCUUGACUUAGUGGCGGACGGGUGAGUAACGCGUGAGCAAUCUGCCCUUAGGUGGGGGAUAACAGCCGGAAACGGCUGCUAAUACCGCAUAAUGCAGCGGAACCGCAUGGUUUUGCUGCCAAAGAUUUAUUGCCUUUGGAUGAGCUCGCGUCUGAUUAGCUAGUUGGCGGGGUAACGGCCCACCAAGGCGACGAUCAGUAGCCGGACUGAGAGGUUGAACGGCCACAUUGGGACUGAGACACGGGCCCAGACUCCUACGGGAGGCAGCAGUGGGGAAUAUUGCGCAAUGGGGGGAACCCUGACGCAGCAACGCCGCGUGAUUGAAGAA